UUUAAAACCUAUGCUGUCUCCUAGCAGGGUGCGGCUAGCAGAGUUCUAUAUACUCUGAUCAUCUUUAUACUGCACUGGUUACUGAAUCUUUUGGAGUGGCUGGAGCCUGAGGACAAGGACACAAGCAGCAGAACAGAUGCAAGAGAAAAGCAGGUGACGCCACAACCUGAUCAGCAUGCUGUUGUUUCAGGAGGGAAGUAUGGCAUUCAUCUGUGGUCGGAACCUGGUGGGCCUCAUCCCAGCUCAAACUGUCAUGACAAUACUGGCCCAAAGCAGAUGCCUGGUAAAUCCUCAACUGUUACAAGCAUCCAUCUCAGCUGUUCACCUACAUACAAAACGAUGUAUAGAGUUGGGAGGCAGCUGCCCAAACUAUCAAGCAUGAACCAUCAGUUGCCCAGAAGACAGGCUCCUCAAGACCACCGUCAAGUGAAACGAGCCCAGACUAAUGUGUUGAGGGAGAUGGCUACAAGUGUUUUAUCUCCAGUUAAACCAUUCUCUGCUCCUUACCAGCAAUUUCCACCCCUCCCACCGAGAAGGCUGUAUGUGAAACCAUCAUCACUGCAUCCAAUCAAUGUCAGUCUAUUAUGAGCCCCCCAUGCUGAAGCAAUGGAACCUCCUCCAAGAAGGGUAAAAGGAAGAAAUCAUGACAGGGAAUCAUCACAUGUUUCCCCAGAAUCUGCCUUCUGCAACAUAUGGAGAAGAGAGCAGCACAUCACCCACCAUUGUGAUGCUGCCACUACUAGCAUGGAAUUAUUUUUUGUAUUUAGUUUUUUAAUUUAUUUAGUUGAAUAAAGU